UACGUAGGUGGCAAGCGUUGUCCGGAUUUACUGGGCGUAAAGGGUGCGUAGGCGGUCUCGCAAGUCUGGCGUGAAAGCCCAAGGCUCAGCCUUGGAAGUGCGCUCGAAACGGCGAGGCUGGAGUGCCGGAGGGGAGAGUGGAAUUCCCGGUGUAGCGGUGAAAUGCGUAGAGAUCGGGAGGAAUACCGGUGGCGAAGGCGGUGGUCUGGGCCGGCACUGACGCUGAGGAGCGAAAGCGUGGGGAGCGAACAGG
rnacentral:rRNA from 1 species